rnacentral:rRNA from 1 species
AGGGAAUAUUGGACAAUGGGGGCAACCCUGAUCCAGCAAUGCCGCGUGAGUGAAGAAGGCCCUCGGGUUUUAAAGCUCUUUUGUCCGGAAAGAAAAGCAUUCGGUGAAUACCCGGAUGUUCUGACGGUACCGGAAGAAUAAGCACCGCCUAACUUCGUGCCAGCAGCCGCGGUAAUACGAAGGGUGCAAGCGUUACUCGGAAUUACUGGGCGUAAAGCGUGCGUAGGUGGUUGUUUAAGUCUGAUGUGAAAGCCCUGGGCUCAACCUGGGAAUGGCAUUGGAGACUGGGCAGCUAGAGUGCG